GACGGUUGUCCCGGUUUAAGCGUGUAGGCUGGUUUUCCAGGCAAAUCCGGAAAAUCAAGGCUGAGGCGUGAUGACGAGGCACUACGGUGCUGAAGCAACAAAUGCCCUGCUUCCAGGAAAAGCCUCUAAGCAUCAGGUAACAUCAAAUCGUACCCCAAACCGACACAGGUGGUCAGGUAGAGAAUACCAAGGCGCUUGAGAGAACUCGGGUGAAGGAACUAGGCAAAAUGGUGCCGUAACUUCGGGAGAAGGCACGCUGAUAUGUAGGUGAAGUCCCUCGCGGAUGGAGCUGAAAUCAGUCGAAGAUACCAGCUGGCUGCAACUGUUUAUUAAAAACACAGCACUGUGCAAACACGAAAGUGGACGUAUACGGUGUGACGCCUGCCCGGUGCCGGAAGGUUAAUUGAUGGGGUCAGCGCAAGCGAAGCUCUUGAUCGAAGCCCCGGUAAACGGCGGCCGUAACUAUAACGGUCCUAAGGUAGCGAAAUUCCUUGUCGGGUAAGUUCCGACCUGCACGAAUGGCGUAAUGAUGGCCAGGCUGUCUCCACCCGAGACUCAGUGAAAUUGAACUCGCUGUGAAGAUGCAGUGUACCCGCGGCAAGACGGAAAGACCCCGUGAACCUUUACUAUAGCUUGACACUGAACAUUGAGCCUUGAUGUGUAGGAUAGGUGGGAGGCUUUGAAGUGUGGACGCCAGUCUGCAUGGAGCCGACCUUGAAAUACCACCCUUUAAUGUUUGAUGUUCUAACGUUGACCCGUAAUCCGGGUUGCGGACAGUGUCUGGUGGGUAGUUUGACUGGGGCGGUCUCCUCCUAAAGAGUAACGGAGGAGCACGAAGGUUGGCUAAUCCUGGUCGGACAUCAGGAGGUUAGUGCAAUGGCAUAAGCCAGCUUGACUGCGAGCGUGACGGCGCGAGCAGGUGCGAAAGCAGGUCAUAGUGAUCCGGUGGUUCUGAAUGGAAGGGCCAUCGCUCAACGGAUAAAAGGUACUCCGGGGAUAACAGGCUGAUACCGCCCAAGAGUUCAUAUCGACGGCGGUGUUUGGCACCUCGAUGUCGGCUCAUCACAUCCUGGGGCUGAAGUAGGUCCCAAGGGUAUGGCUGUUCGCCAUUUAAAGUGGUACGCGAGCUGGGUUUAGAACGUCGUGAGACAGUUCGGUCCCUAUCUGCCGUGGGCGCUGGAGAACUGAGGGGGGCUGCUCCUAGUACGAGAGGACCGGAGUGGACGCAUCACUGGUGUUCGGGUUGUCAUGCCAAUGGCACUGCCCGGUAGCUAAAUGCGGAAGAGAUAAGUGCUGAAAGCAUCUAAGCACGAAACUUGC
rnacentral:rRNA from 1 species